CAAGUCAUCAUGGCCCUUACGAGUAGGGCUACACACGUGCUACAAUGGCGCAUACAGAGGGCAGCCAACUUGCGAAAGUGAGCGAAUCCCAAAAAGUGCGUCGUAGUCCGGAUUGGAGUCUGCAACUCGACUCCAUGAAGUCGGAAUCGCUAGUAAUCGUGGAUCAGAAUGCCACGGUGAAUACGUUCCCGGGCCUUGUACACACCGCCCGUCACACCAUGGGAGUGGGCUGCAAAAGAAGUAGGUAGUUUAACCUUCGGGGGGACGCUUACCACUUUGUGGUUCAUGACUGGGGUGAAGUCGUAACAAGGUAGCGCUAGGGGAACCUGGCGCUGGAUCACCUCCUUAAACGAUGAU
rnacentral:rRNA from 1 species